GCUGCAGAGACACUGGCUGGGGCUCAGGGCCACCAGGAAUGUUUUCUGCCAUCACAGGCAAGAGCCAACACUAGGCCAAGACCCACAGCGACAGCGGAGUGAGCAGAGACCAGGGCGUCCCGUAGCCUUUGGGUUCUGUGGUACCGCGAAUCGAACCUAAAUCCUCUCGGAUGCUGGCCAGGCUCUGUAACCCUGGACCACCCCCAGCCCAUUGGAUUUGAGAUGACAGGCAUGCGCCACCACACUUGGCUUUAUGUGGUGCUGGGGGUGGAACUGGGGAGUCUUGUUCAUGUUAGGCAAACACUCUGCUGGCUGAGCAACAUACUGCCCUCGGAGAGGACCUGGGCUUGGUUUCCAGCACUUACAAUGACAGGACUCAAUGUUUUCUGAUCUUUGAGAGCUCCUGCACACACAUGCUGUGCACGUGUACACUCAGUCACACGCACACAAACAAAAGGAAGACAAGGAGAGGAAAUACUCUGUCUGUGUGGUUUCCUGAAAUCUGCAAAUUUGAAGACUUAAAGAAAUAUGUUCUUUUCUCCUUCCUUCCUUCCUCCCUCCCUUCCUCCCUUCCUCCCUCCCUCCCUACCUCCCAUCACAAAGUAACAUACCAACUGUCUCCUGUAGUGGUUUUAAGUUGUCAGCUACUGAGAGGCACCAGGAGAAGCAGACACUUCUCUGCUCUCACCACGGCCUCGGGAGACUCAAGAAGCCCCACAAGGUGAGGGGCUUCUCGCCACCAACCAGCAAACAACGCUAGAGUGGACGCUGACUGGUGUGUCCCCAAUACAGUCCAGAGUGACACAGUUCACUGUCACUCACCUCUGAGGGGAUAGGAGACCGUGGCCCGGGAACACAGACAGAGGUUGCUCCAAACCCCAUGUUCCUGUGGUAACUCUGCUGAGAGAGUUUGUCUGAACAGAACAAAGGGAUGUCAUAAAUCAAGACAAUUUUCAAAUACAUUGGUGGAAACACCAUUAAGGAG
rnacentral:lncRNA from 1 species